rnacentral:rRNA from 1 species
GAUGAACGCUGGCGGCGUGCUUAACACAUGCAAGUCGAACGAAGCACUUUAUUCGAUUUUCUUCGGAGAUGAAGAUUUAGUGACUGAGUGGCGGACGGGUGAGUAACGCGUGGAUAACCUGCCUCACACUGGGGGAUAACAGUUAGAAAUGACUGCUAAUACCGCAUAAGCGCGCAGUACCGCAUGGUACGGUGUGAAAAACUCCGGUGGUGUGAGAUGGAUCCGCGUUUGAUUAGCCAGUUGGCGGGGUAACGGCCCACCAAAGCGACGAUCAAUAGCCGACCUGAGCGGGUGACCGGCCACAUUGGGAAUGAGACACGGCCCAAACUCCUACGGGAGGCAGCAGUGGGGAAUAUUGCGCAAUGGGGGAAACCCUGACGCAGCGACGCCGCGUGAGCGAUGAAGUAUUUCGGUAUGUAAAGCUCUAUCAGCAGGGAAGAAUAAAUGACGGUACCUGACUAAGAAGCCCCGGCUAACUACGUGCCAGCAGCCGCCGUAA